UUAAGUUAUUAAGGGCGCACGGUGGAUGCCUUGGCACUAGAAGCCGAUGAAGGACGUUACUAACGACGAUAUGCUUUGGGGAGCUGUAAGUAAGCUUUGAUCCAGAGAUUUCCGAAUGGGGAAACCCAGCAUGAGUUAUGUCAUGUUAUCGAUAUGUGAAUACAUAGCAUAUCAGAAGGCACACCCGGAGAACUGAAACAUCUUAGUACCCGGAGGAAGAGAAAGAAAAUUCGAUUCCCUUAGUAGCGGCGAGCGAAACGGGAAGAGCCCAAACCAACAAGCUUGCUUGUUGGGGUUGUAGGACACUCUAUACGGAGUUACAAAGGACGACAUUAGACGAAUCAUCUGGAAAGAUGAAUCAAAGAAGGUAAUAAUCCUGUAGUCGAAAAUGUUGUCUCUCUUGAGUGGAUCCUGAGUACGACGGAGCACGUGAAAUUCCGUUGGAAUCUGGGAGGACCAUCUCCUAAGGCUAAAUACUCUCUAGUGACCGAUAGUGAACCAGUACCGUGAGGGAAAGGUGAAAAGCACCCCGGAAGGGGAGUGAAAUAGAACCUGAAACCGUGUGCUUACAAGUAGUCAGAGCCCGUUAAUGGGUGAUGGCGUGCCUUUUGUAGAAUGAACCGGCGAGUUACGAUUUGAUGCAAGGUUAAGCAGUAAAUGUGGAGCCGUAGCGAAAGCGAGUCUGAAUAGGGCGUUUAGUAUUUGGUCGUAGACCCGAAACCAGGUGAUCUACCCUUGGUCAGGUUGAAGUUCAGGUAACACUGAAUGGAGGACCGAACCGACUUACGUUGAAAAGUGAGCGGAUGAACUGAGGGUAGCGGAGAAAUUCCAAUCGAACCUGGAGAUAGCUGGUUCUCUCCGAAAUAGCUUUAGGGCUAGCCUCAAGUGAUGAUUAUUGGAGGUAGAGCACUGUUUGGACGAGGGGCCCCUCUCGGGUUACCGAAUUCAGACAAACUCCGAAUGCCAAUUAAUUUAACUUGGGAGUCAGAACAUGGGUGAUAAGGUCCGUGUUCGAAAGGGAAACAGCCCAGACCACCAGCUAAGGUCCCAAAAUAUAUGUUAAGUGGAAAAGGAUGUGGCGUUGCCCAGACAACUAGGAUGUUGGCUUAGAAGCAGCCAUCAUUUAAAGAGUGCGUAAUAGCUCACUAGUCGAGUGACACUGCGCCGAAAAUGUACCGGGGCUAAACAUAUUACCGAAGCUGUGGAUUGUCCUUUGGACAAUGGUAGGAGAGCGUUCUAAGGGCGUUGAAGCAUGAUCGUAAGGACAUGUGGAGCGCUUAGAAGUGAGAAUGCCGGUGUGAGUAGCGAAAGACGGGUGAGAAUCCCGUCCACCGAUUGACUAAGGUUUCCAGAGGAAGGCUCGUCCGCUCUGGGUUAGUCGGGUCCUAAGCUGAGGCCGACAGGCGUAGGCGAUGGAUAACAGGUUGACAUUCCUGUACCACCUAUAAUCGUUUUAAUCGAUGGGGGGACGCAGUAGGAUAGGCGAAGCGUGCGAUUGGAUUGCACGUCUAAGCAGUAAGGCUGAGUAUUAGGCAAAUCCGGUACUCAUUAAGGCUGAGCUGUGAUGGGGAGAAGACAUUGUGUCUUCGAGUCGUUGAUUUCACACUGCCGAGAAAAGCCUCUAGAUAGAAAAUAGGUGCCCGUACCGCAAACCGACACAGGUAGUCAAGAUGAGAAUUCUAAGGUGAGCGAGCGAACUCUCGUUAAGGAACUCGGCAAAAUGACCCCGUAACUUCGGGAGAAGGGGUGCUCUUUAGGGUUAACGCCCAGAAGAGCCGCAGUGAAUAGGCCCAAGCGACUGUUUAUCAAAAACACAGGUCUCUGCUAAACCGUAAGGUGAUGUAUAGGGGCUGACGCCUGCCCGGUGCUGGAAGGUUAAGAGGAGUGGUUAGCUUCUGCGAAGCUACGAAUCGAAGCCCCAGUAAACGGCGGCCGUAACUAUAACGGUCCUAAGGUAGCGAAAUUCCUUGUCGGGUAAGUUCCGACCCGCACGAAAGGCGUAACGAUUUGGGCACUGUCUCAACGAGAGACUCGGUGAAAUCAUAGUACCUGUGAAGAUGCAGGUUACCCGCGACAGGACGGAAAGACCCCGUGGAGCUUUACUGUAGCCUGAUAUUGAAAUUCGGCACAGCUUGUACAGGAUAGGUAGGAGCCUUUGAAACGUGAGCGCUAGCUUACGUGGAGGCGCUGGUGGGAUACUACCCUAGCUGUGUUGGCUUUCUAACCCGCACCACUUAUCGUGGUGGGAGACAGUGUCAGGCGGGCAGUUUGACUGGGGCGGUCGCCUCCUAAAAGGUAACGGAGGCGCUCAAAGGUUCCCUCAGAAUGGUUGGAAAUCAUUCAUAGAGUGUAAAGGCAUAAGGGAGCUUGACUGCGAGACCUACAAGUCGAGCAGGGUCGAAAGACGGACUUAGUGAUCCGGUGGUUCCGUAUGGAAGGGCCAUCGCUCAACGGAUAAAAGCUACCCCGGGGAUAACAGGCUUAUCUCCCCCAAGAGUUCACAUCGACGGGGAGGUUUGGCACCUCGAUGUCGGCUCAUCGCAUCCUGGGGCUGUAGUCGGUCCCAAGGGUUGGGCUGUUCGCCCAUUAAAGCGGUACGCGAGCUGGGUUCAGAACGUCGUGAGACAGUUCGGUCCCUAUCCGUCGUGGGCGUAGGAAAUUUGAGAGGAGCUGUCCUUAGUACGAGAGGACCGGGAUGGACAUACCUCUGGUGUACCAGUUGUCGUGCCAACGGCAUAGCUGGGUAGCUAUGUGUGGACGGGAUAAGUGCUGAAAGCAUCUAAGCAUGAAGCCCCCCUCAAGAUGAGAUUUCCCAACUUCGGUUAUAAGAUCCCUCAAAGAUGAUGAGGUUAAUAGGUUCGAGGUGGAAGCAUGGUGACAUGUGGAGCUGACGAAUACUAAUCGAUCGAAGACUUAAUCAA
rnacentral:rRNA from 3 species